AUUGAACGCUGGCGGCAGGCCUAACACAUGCAAGUCGAACGAGUGGCGGACGGGUGAGUACUGUCUAGGAAACUGCGCGAAGGAGGGGGGUAACUACUCGAAACGGUAGCUCAUACAGCAUACCAUCGGAUGUGCCCAGAUGGGGUUAGCGAGUAGGUGAGGUAACGGCUCACCUCGGCGACGAUCCCUAGCUGGUCGGGGAGGAUGACCAGCAACACUGGAACUGAGACAGGGUCCAGACUCCUACGGGAGGCAGCAGGGGGGAAUAUUGCACAAUGGGCGAAAGCCUGAUGCAGCCAUGCCGCGUGUAUGAAGAAGGCCUUCGGGUUGUAAAGUACUUUCAGCGGAGAGGCGGUACCCGCAGAAGAAGCACCGGCUAACUCCGUGCCAGCAGCCGCGGUAAUUC
rnacentral:rRNA from 1 species